rnacentral:rRNA from 1 species
GGAGGGUGCGAGCGUUGCUCGGAAUCACUGGGCGUAAAGCGUACGCAGGCGGACCGCUAAGUCGGGUGUGAAAGCCCGGGGCUCAACCCCGGAAAUGCAUUCGAAACUGACGGUCUUGAGUACGGGAGAGGGAGGUGGAAUUCCUGGUGUAGAGGUGAAAUUCGUAGAUAUCAGGAGGAACACCGGUGGCGAAAGCGGCCUCCUGGCCCGAUACUGACGCUCAUGUACGAGAGCGUGGGGAGCAAACAGGAUUAGAUACCCUGGUAGUCCACGCUGUAAACGAUGAGUGCUAGCUGGUGGAAAUGUUUACCGUUUCGCUGGCGAAGCUAACGCAUUAAGCACUCCGCCUGGGAAGUACGGCCGCAAGGCUA